rnacentral:lncRNA from 1 species
GAGAAUUUGAUAGUCAAAGAUUCUUAGAUAGGAUACAAAAACAUAACCCUAAAAGAAAAAACUGACAAACUGAACUUUAUCCAAAUCAAAAGCCUCUGCUCUUUAAAGACAUACUUAAGAAAAUGAAGAGACAAACCACAGACUAGAAGAAAUUAUUUACAAAACACAUUUCUGACAGGGGACUUGUACCCACAAUAUUUAACUCUUAUAACUCAAUACUAAGAAGACAAAUAUAAUCCACUAAAAAGUAGGUAAAAGAUUGGAAAUAACCCAUGAAAUAAUACCUAAGAUGUUUAACAUCACUAGUCAUGAGGGAAAUUAACAUUGAAAGCAUUAUGAAUCACCACUGCCAGGUGCUGAUGAAAAUGCCGCGCGCCUGGAGUCGCGGGCGUUGCUGGCGGGGGUGGAAAACGGGGCUGCCAUUUGGAAGACAGUUGAGCUGAUGAGUUGAACGUACCCUUAACACGGGCUCCAGCAAUCCCACUCUCAAAAGAAAUGAAACUGCACGUCCCCACCAAACCUGCACGCAAAUGUCUAAAGUGGCUUCACUCACAACAGCCCACAUGCCCAUCCACAGGUGAACCCGUGAGCAACUGUGUACCUCCACCUGUCCCACAACCUACAGCUCAGCAGCACCAAGGGCGGGACGCUGGUGCCACCACACGGGUCCCGCGAAGCCUGCUGCGAAGUGAAGGAAGCCAGACACAAAAGUCUCCAUCCUGUGGGAGUCACUCACAGGACAAUUCUGGAGGACGCAAAGCUGUAGGACCGAGGAGAGACAGGUGGUGGUUGGAGGCCGGGAAGGGGCCUGACUGCAGAGGGGCAAAAUGUGGGCUGCCUCUGUCGGGGCAGAAGUGCCCCACUCUGGACACUUACCAAGUCGUCGGCUGUGCAUCGAAAAGGGGUGAGCCUUAUGUGUGUACGUGAUACCGCAAUAAACCUGACUUGUAAAAGCAGCAUGUGAAGUCAUCAGCCCAGGACCCGGCCACAGGAGGGGGCGCACGGUGAAAAGGAGACCCUGCUGGGCCCACCUUGCCCGGUGGGUGGGACAGGGAAGCGUCCCUGGAGAAGGCGGCCCAUGGGCUUGGGGGAGGGAGGUCCUGUAGGGAGUGGGGAGAGCCACUCGCGUCUUCCUGGGGCUCUUCCUUGCCACCCCAGCCCUUUCCCAGCUUUCUGUUCCUACCGGGAAGGAGGAACGCAGAGGUGCCGGAGUCUCCGGCACUUUGAGGCGGGCAGAAGUGGAAGCUUGAAGUGGGCAUAGAUUUGCCCCUCCCCUGCCCGGGCUGGGAUCUGCACUGUGGCCCCCGUGUAAACAGACGAGACGACCCUCACAUCCCAGGGAGAGCCUCACGUGGCUGGGACUGAUUCUAGAGCCCCUAACUCAGCUCCGUGCCAGGGAAGACCGAUCACCACAGGCCGAAUUCCGGGGUCACGGCAGCUUGGCACCCAGCCUGGCAGUGUGGGGCUUGGGGCCACCAGAGCCUCCAGGGACAGGAGGGCACAGCAGUGCAGCCCCUGCUAACCUUGGCAAGCAGGAGGGCGCCGUGAUUAAACGUAUGAUUUCUGCCACCUCCAAAGCCGCAGCCAAUGAGAAGGCUAUUUUAGCAAAACUGGAAAGAAAAAUGCAAUUUUUCUUGGCCACAUCGUCUUCGUUUCCUCUGCUCCUGGCGUUCGGUUUGUUUGUCUCUUCUCACUACUGAGAGGCAGUUUUGCCAGCCUGUGCCUCCCGCCGGCUGUGGCUCGAGGUGUGGACGCCCGCGCCACCUUCCCGUUCCCGUUUCAGGGGGGAAGCUGCAGAGUUCUGGAGCUGUGAGUAGCACCGCUGUCGCCGCAAAGCAGAACCCCCAGUGAUUAGGGACGCUCCACGGACUUCACGGCUGCACGGCCGGCGUCACGGGCUGCUGUUGCUCCAGCGUGUUGGGACGUGCGAGAGGCAUUUACGACCUCAGCGACACAUUCCCUCAACCUCGUCACGCUGCAAGUGCUGCCAGGGUGUGUUCAGGGGACACUCCCUCUCGGGCUGGCUUGUGCGGGGACACGUGCGUGCACAGACACGGACUCACAUAAAUGCAAUCCACAUGCACACACUCACACAAUAGGCUGUUAUGCACAGACCCUCACACUCAUGUGAACACACUCAUGCACACGCAAGACUUACAUAUUCACACUCACACCCGUGGGCACACCCAGACAUGGAUACACACUCAUACAGGCACAUACGUAUCCAGACACCCACGCACAGACACUCACACCCACGGGCACACCUAGACAUGGAUACACAGGCACACACAUAUUGGGACACCCACGCAUAGACACUCACAUUCACACACGGGCACACCCAGACUGAUGCACACGAACACAGGCACGCACUAGUAUAGCCAGACACACAGGCACACUCAAACUCUCACAGUCACACAUUCACAUACACUCACAUGAAUACAAUGCAUGCACACACAAACAUACCUAUACACUUGUGUGUGCAGAGAACACACACACAUUUGCACUUAUACUCACAUGAAUACAAUAGAAACACAUGCAUACACACUUGUGUGCCCAGACCCACACUCACACAUUUGCACACUCACAUGACUAUAAUACAUGCACACAUGCAUACAUACAUGUGACCAGACCCACACCCACUCACAUUCGCACUCACACACACGUGAAUAUAGUACUCGCACACACAUGCAUACACAUGUGCCCAGACCUACAGACACACUCACAUUUGCACACUCACACAUGUGAAUAUAGUAUAUGCACACACUCAUGUGCCCAGACCCACAGACACAUUCGCACACUCACACACGUGAAUAUAGUACAUGCAUACACACGCAUACACACUCGUGUGCCCAGACCCACAGACACAUUCGCACACUCACACAUGUGAAUAUAGUACUCGCACACACACGCAUACACGUGCCCAGACCUACAGACACACUCACAUUUGCACAGUCACACGUGAAUAUAGUAUAUGCACACACACACUUAUGUGCGCAGACCCACAGACACACACAUUCACACUCUCACACAUGUGAAUAUAGUACAUGCACACACACACGCAUACACACUCGUGCCCAGACACACACACUCACACAUUCGCACACUCAGAGUGCCCCCCUCCCUCUCACAGGCCUUGUCCUGGGGACGAGUCAAGCCGUCAGGUACCUACACUCUGAGCUCCCGGAUCACUGGGCCGACACCGGAGGCUGCUGCUGUUUGUGGUCCGUCUUCCUGUGGAGUGUAUUCGACUGCGGGGGCGUCCACAAGGUGGGUGUGGGUGGGCCCGGAGACCUUUCUUCCGGGAGGCCAAGUUUCCAAAGCCAGUCCUUCACGUUCAAGGAUGCCCUCUCCCUGCAGGAUCCUGGACUUGUCAUGGGGUCUGGAUUAGGUUAUGCUAAUGGCAUCCACACUUGGCCUUUCCCCUCUUUCCUUAUAAAUCAGCCAACAAUGGGAGGCCGUGGGCUUCGCCAGAAGCCUCUGGAAACAGAGCUGCUCCUUUCCAGCAGGCCAGGCCGACCGGGGAGGCUGCGGCCCAUCGUGCGCUGGGGGAAGGUGAGCCAGGCUCCCAUCACGUGCCGGGAGCUGAUCUUGGCAGGUCGCGUCCUCCCGAAGCCUGCACUUCAGCCCCAGGGUUUUCCGACCGCCUCUGCUCCCAGAGGGGACCCGCAGGGACGAAGAGGCCGAACACAGCACCGAGACCUCAGUGUCGGGCGCGGGUGCUCCCAAAGCGCAGCGGGCCCACCUCCCCCGGCAGAGGAUCGUGCGGCGGUCAAAGUCGCACACGGGGCUUCUGAGACGUGCGGCCCGGGCCUAAGAGCUGCAUGUGUGCAAGCCGCUCCGUG